UCUCCCUCGUCUCUUCCCAUCCCGCUCCUCUUCUCCAUGCCGCCGCCACCGCCGCUGCUUCUCCUCCCUCUCGGUCGCCUGUCUCCCCCGCCUCCAACACCUCCUCCUCUCUUUGCCUCCUCACCCAACCAGCACAGCCAGACCACGCGAUGUGGACGAGGAGGCAACAGAUCGGACGAGGAGGCAACAGAUCGGAAGGCGGGCAAGAGGAACCAGGUGGUUCUCCUUCCAUGGCCGGGCCUCGACCAGCCGCAUCUUCCUCCUCCCAGUCCGGCUGAGAGGAGUGGCGGAUCCGCCUCCUCAAGCGAGCAGGGGCGCACGGGGAUUCGAUCCAGGGAUCUCCUUGCGAGAGGCCGCCACCGUACCGACUCCAACCUGCAGCCUGUUCCAACUCAGAAAGUGACAGUUAUACAAGAAGAACCAGAUGCCACUGAAGAUGCCAACAGUAACCAUGUGUCUCAGUUUGUAUUAUAUAUGGGUUCUUUAUGCUUGCCUUUAAAUCCUUCUUAAUUUUCCCUGUGCAGUCCAAGUAAGCAUCGCGAACUGCCAUAAGCAUCGCGAACCACUCGAGUAUCUUCAUUCCCUGUGUAGAACUGUUCAAGAAAAGCACCUGUAAAACCAACAGCGUGGAGGAGCCGGCUUACCGUGUCAGAAUUGUGUGUACUUGCGGGCUACUUCACCGUCACCAGCCCAUCUGUAGUAUUGUAGGGAUGGACAUAUGGAUUGAGUGGUACCCACCUGAAAGAUACACAUCUCAGCAGCCAAGAACUUCAAUAAAAAUGUAUAUCCCAACUCCUUUUAUAAUCUUGAAUGCUUCUCGGUCAACGUCGGUGUCACUUCCAGUCUUGGAUGCUACCAGGAUGCCAGGGAAGAGGUAUGAAAUUCUCAACUUAGGAAGGAACAUACAACCUGUAAUGUGUCGAUCACUAACUAAUAAAUAGGAGUCUGAUGUUGGAAAGAAGCAACUGGUACCAAAGAAAAAGCAUCACGACUCCCCUUACAAAUCAAUGAAGUGUUCUAAUUCUAAUUCUGGCGAUCUAAGCACCGGUCCAAGCGGCUCUCCCUCGGCUAUGCCUGGAUGUUCGAGCUGUCAGUGUGGUACAGGAGCAGCAGCCACCAUCGCUGUCAAGUAGCUCCAGCAAUCACGUGCUCACUCUUGCUUCACAGACUAUGUAUGGUCAGUUCAGAAAAUUGGAGGUUUUAGGAUCUUUGGAAGUUUUUUGAGGCAUCACCCUUCUUGUCCGCAGUUAAAAGGUUUGACGCAGUACAGUGCGGGGGAGGCGGUGUCCUCUGCAGCUAGGUCUACUUGCUGGCGACCUCACCAUCACCAACCCAUCUACAGCCUACUUGAAUGGAUAUGGUUCUUGAGAGGCCAUUUCUUAUGCAUCAGGCCCUGAAGGUGGAUGUUGCUUGUAUGCUAAGCAAGGAAGAGGCAUGCCCUACCUGGCAGCGACCACCUUCCACUCAAGGGAUAUAGCACUAUCAUUUAGCACACACUGUUCCAGGAGAAACAAUAAUCAUGAACAGAAACAGUAACCAACAAUAUCCCUACUGACCGGCGUGGCUCCACCAACGAUCCAUCAGCCCCUGGUACAGAAAGAGAUCCAGAAGCUCACGCAUGGAGGACAUGGACAUUGGUAUCGUCUGUGACGAGGGUUCCCCAGGAUCAAUAGCGUCAAGGACAGGAACGCCUGUGCCCAAUGAUAAUGACUACCUGAUAGUGAUUCCUUAUGCUCACAUCUUUGGCCUCAUGCUGCAAGCUCUAAAGCUGCCCCCUGCAACUUACCAGCACAAAAUAUACCCAGGCGGAAAGAAUCGUGUGACAGUGACUUUCAUUUCUACUUUGGAAUUGCUAGAUGGUUCACUUGUCCCGAGUUCUAUACCAGGUGCAAUCUUAGAUAGCUAUGAAGAUGCAGAAGACUGCUGCUAUGGAGGCUAUUACAUUCAUGGAGAAUGCAUAUGGCAAAGAAAUGAGGGGCUACCACUACACCCAUGUCAAGAGGCUAGAAAAUCAAGUGACGCACCUGGUCAAAUGGUUGACUUCAUCCAAUGAGACAAUCAAGAAGCUGCGCAAAAACAUGCUACUACGCUGUCAGGUACAUGAACUCAUAUUCUGCCCGGAUAGAAAACACAACAGCUGCUCGCCACCUGAAAGGUCAGGACAACACCAAAGGAGUUAUGAAAACAGCUCUUGCAAGCAUCGAAGGACUGACGCAAAGGCUACGCUACAUUGCUAUGAAGUUUGAGCAGCGCCUUGAAGCAACCAGAAACAGUUUCUGGUAAACUUUGCUGAAUGUAUCCUGGAUAGCGUGCUUCAUCGGUUACCGCAACAACCACCUUUUGUUUCAUAUCUAUCAGACCAGCAUCUUUCCCAUUUUGGACUACUCCCAACAAGAUAUGUAUAGACUUUAGUCCUCCCUUGCUGCCUCUAUGGUGAAAAGUAGUCUAUGAUAUAGUUUACGAUCUUUAGAUUUUAUUGUUGUCUGUAUAGUCAAGAGCGGUUUACCAUCGCUUAUUGUAUAUAUGUGAAGGUCUCCUCUUCUACUGUUGUUUCACAACACUAUGACCGAAGAAAACAACCUUUCCUUUUA